rnacentral:misc_RNA from 1 species
CGCAUCUUGCGCCGCUCGGUUUUCCGAGGGGCAUAUCUGUUUGAGUGUCACGUUAAUAAAUCACUUCUCACUUGCUGUGAAGUGGAAUUGGACUGUGCUGUCGCUCGUCGUACGGCUCGUCUCGAAAUGCAUUGUUGCCUGCGAAGUCUUAGCGCUGAUGCUGAGUCUGGCGAAACGGUGUGAUAAUUUUCGCGCUGAAGUAGCUGGAUUUUUUAGCUCGCUCUGUUGAAAACGCUUCGGGCUUAUAAUGACGAGGGAGCAAUCCCCAUUAAUUUUUUAAGUUUGGCCUCAAAUCAGAUAAGACAACCCGCUGAACUUAA